GAUGAACGCUGGCGGCGUGCCUAAUACAUGCAAGUCGAGCGAACAGACGAGGAGCUUGCUCCUCUGACGUUAGCGGCGGACGGGUGCGUAACACGUGGAUAACCUACCUAUCAGACUGGGAUAACUUCGGGAAACCGGAGCUAAUACCGGAUAAUAUAUUGAACCGCAUGGUUCAAUAGUGAAAGACGGUUUUGCUGUCACUUAUAGAUGGAUCCGCGCCGCAUUAGCUAGUUGGUAAGGUAACGGCUUACCAAGGCCACGAUGCGUAGCCGACCUGAGAGGGUGAUCGGCCACUCUGGAACUGAGACACGGUCCAGACUCCUACGGGAGGCAGCAGUAGGGAAUCUUCCGCAAUGGGCGAAAGCCGGACGGAGCAACGCCGCGUGAGUGAUGAAGGUCUUCGGAUCGUAUAACUCUGUUAUUAGGGAAGAACAAAUGUGUAAGUAACUAUGCACGUCUUGACGGUACCUAAUCAGAAAGCCACGGCUAACUACGUG
rnacentral:rRNA from 1 species